GACGAACGCUGGCGGCGCGCCUAACACAUGCAAGUCGAACGGAGCUGAGAGAAGCUUGCUUUUCUUAGCUUAGUGGCGAACGGGUGAGUAACGCGUGAGUAACCUGCCCUGGAGUGGGGGACAACAGUUGGAAACGACUGCUAAUACCGCAUAAGCCCACGAUCCGGCAUCGGAUUGAGGGAAAAGGAUUUAUUCGCUUCAGGAUGGACUCGCGUCCAAUUAGCUAGUUGGUGAGGUAACGGCCCACCAAGGCGACGAUUGGUAGCCGGACUGAGGGGUUGAACGGCCACAUUGGGACUGGGACGCGGCCCAGACUCCUACGGGAGGCAGCAGUGGGGGAUAUUGCACAAUGGGGGAAACCCUGAGGCAGCGACGCCGCGUGGAGGAAGAAGGUUUUCGGAUUGUAAACUCCUGUCGUUAGGGACGAUAAUGACGGUACCUAACAAGAAAGCACCGGCUAACUACGUG
rnacentral:rRNA from 1 species